UACGGGGGGGGCAAGCGUUGUUCGGAAUUACUGGGCGUAAAGGGUUCGUAGGUGGCUUGUUAAGUCAGACGUGAAAUCCCUCGGCUCAACGGGUGAACUGCGUCUGAGACUGAUGAGCUCGAGUGCAGGAGAGGAACGCGGAAUUCCAGGUGUAGCGGUGAAAUGCGUAGAUAUCUGGAGGAACACCGGUGGCGAAGGCGGCGUUCUGGACUGCAACUGACACUGAGGAACGAAAGCCAGGGGAGCAAACGGG
rnacentral:rRNA from 1 species